rnacentral:misc_RNA from 1 species
AAGUCGUAACAAGGUUUCCGUAGGUGAACCUGCGGAAGGAUCAUUAUCGAAUGAACAAUGGGGAUCGGUUGUCGCUGGCUUCUUCACCGAGGCAUGUGCACGCCUUUCUCUAUUUCAUCCACACACACCUGUGAACUUGUGAGACGGGUAGUAGUCUUUCCCCCGAUUUAUUAACUUAUUUCUGGGGGGGACGAGGUCCGUCUGUCAAUACAUAAACUCCAAUCAAAUUAAAUCUGAAUGUAAUCCGAUGUAACACAUCUUUAAACUAAGUUUCAACAACGGAUCUCUUGGCUCUC